rnacentral:misc_RNA from 1 species
AGCAGCCGCGGUAAUUCCAGCUCCAAUAGCGUAUAUUAAAGUUGUUGCAGUUAAAAGCUCGUAGUUGAAUUUCGGGAUCAGUUGGUCGGUCGUGCCUCGGUACGUACUGGUCAAAUUGAUUCCUACCUUCUGACGAACCACGAUGUCAUUAAUUUGGUGUCGUGGGAAAUCAGGACUGUUACUUUGAAAAAAUUAGAGUGUUUAAAGCAGGCUCGCGCUUGAAUACAUUAGCAUGGAAUAAUGAAAUAGGACGUUUGAUUCUAUUUUGUUGGUUUCUAGGAUCGACGUAAUGAUUAAUAGGGAUAGUUGGGGGCAUUAGUAUUCAAUUGUCAGAGGUGAAAUUCUUGGAUUUAUUGAAGACUAACUACUGCGAAAGCAUUUGCCAAGGAUGUUUUCAUUAAUCAAGAACGAAAGUUAGGGGAUCGAAGACGAUCAGAUACCGUCGUAGUCUUAACCAUAAACUAUGCCGACUAGGGAUCGGAUGAUGUUAAUUUUUUAAUGACUCAUUCGGCGCCUUACG